UACGGAGGGGGCGAGCGUUAUUCGGAAUUAUUGGGCGUAAAGGGCGCGUAGGCGGCUUGACAAGUCAAAGGUGAAAUCCCUCGGCUCAACUGAGGAACUGCCUUUGAAACUGUCUGGCUUGAGGCCGGGAGGGGGUAGCGGAAUUCCCAGUGUAGCGGUGAGAUGCGUAGAUAUUGGGAGGAACACCAGUGGCGAAGGCGGCUACCUGGACCGGUACUGACGCUGAUGCGCGAAAGCGUGGGUAGCAAACAGG
rnacentral:rRNA from 1 species